ACUUGCCCUGAAUUCUUUCUUGCGCGAGAUCUAAGAACCCUCUCUUGGGGUCUGGAUGAGGACCACCUUCCUGUAACAUCUUUCUGGCAACCACAGAAGGGACACAAAGGCUACCUUUGGCUUGGCCCCCAGGGCUAGGGUCCAGCCGCCAGGUCACUAGGGCCACUCAAAGAAAGGGAACACAAAAGUCUCACGUGCCAGCAAAAGGAAAAUGAUGAGAAUAUGGUGCAGUUGUAUACAUUUUGAACGGGACAAAGGAGAGAAAGAACAUCUGCCCAGCUGGGUCAUAUGUGCGUUGACAGCGAGCGGCAGAACAAGGAGUACCAGGGGCUUAUGGACUUCACCUCACAGCUGGAGUAGGAGAUCUCUCUGUAUCGCAGCCAGCUAGAAGGCCAGGAAUAUUGCUACAACAACCUGCCCAACUCCAAGGUCCUCUGAGUGGCAGGCUCCUGGGUUUCUGCUCUCCUUCAGGGGGAGUCCCUAGGCUGGGGAAUAGGAAUCGAAGGACCCUUACCUCUGGCUCUUCACUGACCUGCCAAUAAAAUAAUAUGGCCCAAGGAAAAAAAUUAAAAUAAUAAAAAUAAUCAGAUAAUAAAAUGAAAUAAAAUACAAUAAACAUUUUAUUUUAAUAUCUACUUUUUUUAUUUUUCGACCCUGCUUCUUAUCUAGGGUCCAAUUUCAUUAAUAUCUUUGCAUGCUGAGCAUGUGUUCUGGACAAUGACAAGUAAAUUAAUGUAAAUAAAUGCUUGCACAAAUUAAUAUUGUUUAGAUUGAUUUAGAACAUAUUUGUUAUGGCUAAUAUCAGAGUGUGCUUUACUUCUUCAUAGAAAGUUAGAAGUUAGAGUUCAAAAAACAUGUGUGAUCAGAGAAAUUUAUUGAUUGAACAAAGAAAUCUUUCAGUUUUCAGAAGAAGAUUUAAAGGACUUGUUCAAGGUAAAAAAAAAAGCACAGCAUGUAUUAAACAAGGUUUUCUUAUUCAUUCCACUUAUCUUUUCAAUAUAAUUUGUAGUUUUAAGUUGGCUAGUCCACAUGAUAGUAACAGAAGAUAAUUAUGCUUGUACAUGUUCAAAAUGUAUGAUUAGAAUUACCUUACUUUUAAAAAUUAAGGCAAGAGCAUUAUCUUCCCAUUAAAAAUAAUUUGAUUAGUUUCUAGAUUCAUGUUGCUAUCAGCUUAAGCAGGUACAUUAUGUUAAAAUCUUAAAAGUAUCCUAUUGAGAUUUUCUUUGAAGUAAUAAAAAUAGAUACUAACAGU